rnacentral:rRNA from 1 species
UGGGGGAUAUUGCACAAUGGGCGAAAGCCUGAUGCAGCGACGCCGCGUGGGGGAUGAAGGCCUUCGGGUUGUAAACUUCUUUUGCUCUGAACAAGGCAUGCUAAUGGGUGUGUUGAGUGUAGGGGUUGAUUAGCGCCGGCUAACUACGUGCCAGCAGCCGCGGUAAUACGUAGGGCGCGAGCGUUGUCCGGAAUUAUUGGGCGUAAAGGGCUUGUAGGUGGCUGGUUGCGUCUGUCGUGAAAGCUCAUGGCUUAACUGGGGGUGUGCGGUGGGUACGAGAUGGCUUGAGUGCAGUAGGGGAGGCUGGAAUUCCUGGUGUAGCGGUGGAAUGCGAAGAUAUCAGGAGGAAUACCGGUGGCGAAGGCGGGUCUCUGGGCUGUUACUGACACUGAGGAGCGAAAGCAUGGGGAGCGAACAGG